ACGGUGAAGAGGAGCUUGCUCCUCGGAACAGUGGCGGACGGGUGAGUAACACGUGAGCAACCUGGCUCUAAGAGGGGGACAACAGUUGGAAACGACUGCUAAUACCGCAUAACGUAUCGGGAUGGCAUCUUCCUGAUACCAAAGAUUUUAUCGCUUAGAGAUGGGCUCGCGUCUGAUUAGAUAGUUGGCGGGGUAACGGCCCACCAAGUCGACGAUCAGUAGCCGGACUGAGAGGUUGAACGGCCACAUUGGGACUGAGACACGGCCCAGACUCCUACGGGAGGCAGCAGUGGGGGAUAUUGGACAAUGGGGGCAACCCUGAUCCAGCGACGCCGCGUGAGGGAAGAAGGUUUUCGGAUUGUAAACCUCUGUUGACGGAGAAAAAAAUGAUGGUAUCCGUUUAGAAAGCCACGGCUAACUACGUGCCAGCAGCCGCGGUAAUACGUAGGUGGCAAGCGUUGUCCGGAAUUACUGGGUGUAAAGGGAGUGUAGGCGGGAUAUCAAGUCAGAAGUGAAAAUUACGGGCUCAACUCGUAACCUGCUUUUGAAACUGACAUUCUUGAGUGAAGUAGAGGCAAGCGGAAUUCCUAGUGUAGCGGUGAAAUGCGUAGAUAUUAGGAGGAACACCAGUGGCGAAGGCGGCUUGCUGGGCUUUUACUGACGCUGAGGCUCGAAAGCGUGGGGAGCAAACAGGAUUAGAUAC
rnacentral:rRNA from 1 species